AGUGAACGCUGGCGGUAGGCCUAACACAUGCAAGUCGAACGGCAGCACAGUAAGAGCUUGCUCUUACGGGUGGCGAGUGGCGGACGGGUGAGGAAUACAUCGGAAUCUACUUUUUCGUGGGGGAUAACGUAGGGAAACUUACGCUAAUACCGCAUACGACCUACGGGUGAAAGCAGGGGAUCUUCGGACCUUGCGCGAUUGAAUGAGCCGAUGUCGGAUUAGCUAGUUGGCGGGGUAAAGGCCCACCAAGGCGACGAUCCGUAGCUGGUCUGAGAGGAUGAUCGGCCACACUGGAACUGAGACACGGUCCAGACUCCUACGGGAGGCAGCAGUGGGGAAUAUUGGACAAUGGGCGCAAGCCUGAUCCAGCCAUACCGCGUGGGUGAAGAAGGCCUUCGGGUUGUAAAGCCCUUUUGUUGGGAAAGAAAAGCAGCAGGUUAAUACCCCGCUGUUCUGACAGUACCCAAAGAAUAAGCACCGGCUAACUUCGUG
rnacentral:rRNA from 1 species